rnacentral:lncRNA from 1 species
UCCGCUGCACAUCCGUGUGACUACCCACAUCCGCUUUCCUGCAUGAAGCCAGCACCCUUUUGAACCCACGUGUGCUCACCAGUUACCAUGCUCGGUCCCGUUAUCGUCCAGGCCGUGAAGACUGUGCAUCAGGCCUGUUUGAAUUCCGCAUCCUGUUCCCUACUGGCUUGCUGCAUUUAAAAGGAAAUGCAUGAGAAAAGAAGGUUUUCCAC